rnacentral:rRNA from 1 species
UACGGGGGGUCCAAGCGUUGUUCGGAAUCACUGGGCGUAAAGCGCACGUAGGUGGCUUUUCAAGUCUGUUGUGAAAGCCCAGGGCCUAGCCCUGGAAGUGCAGCAGAUACUGUUAAGCUUGAGUAUGGGAGAGGAUAGUGGAAUUUCUGGUGUAGUGGUGAAAUACGUAGAUAUCAGAAGGAACACCAGUGGCGAAGGCGGGCUAUCUGGCCCAAUACUGACACUGAGGUGCGAAAAGCGUGGGGGAGUCAAAACAGGA